GCAUGAAAUUGGCCAUCAAAGAAAGCCACGAAAUUCAAAAUGAUUGUGAUGAUUGUGAUCAAAACCCUGGACUUUCUAAGAUGAAAAUAGACAAUGUAAGUGUAAAGUUUGGCUAGAAUCAAGUUCCGAAAUGCCUUGAGUGUGGUAACAUGACUGAUCACUUUCCAUGUUGACAAGAAAAAGAAGAAUAGCUUAUCCCAAUAUAUUGUCCUGCACUGUGAUAU